AUACGGAGGAUGCGAGCGUUAUCCGGAUUUAUUGGGUUUAAAGGGUGCGUAGGCUGUUUGGUAAGUCAGGGGUGAAAUGCCGUCGCUCAACGACGGAGCUGCCCUUGAUACUGCCGAGCUGGAGUACGGAUGCCGUUGGAGGAAUGAGUGGUGUAGCGGUGAAAUGCAUAGAUAUCACUCAGAACACCGAUUGCGAAGGCAUCUGACGAAUCCGUCACUGACGCUGAGGCACGAAGGCGUGGGGAUAGAACAGGAUUAGAUACCCUGGUAUUCCACGCCGUAAACGAUGAUGACUAACCGCCUGCGAUACAGUGUAGGUGGCCAAGCGAAAGCGAUAAGUCAUCCACCUGGGGAGUACGACCGCAAGGUUGAAACUCAAAUGAAUUGACGGGG
rnacentral:rRNA from 1 species